AUUAGAAAAAGGCCCUGAAUUUGUUCUGCGUAGCGCAAGCAAAUUGAAUAACAUGCUUGCGCUGUGUUUGCUUUUAAAUUGUCUCUGGUGUCUCCACAAGUGGGACAAAAGGGCCAGGAAAGUGUAUGGUGCAUGUGUUUGGAGCCUGCUUGUGGGAUUGCCUUUGUGUAGAGUGUGGUGUGGUAUUGUGUAAAUAGGUCGAUUUCAUUUGGGUUUGUGGUGUAAUAUGUGUGGCUAGGGGCUGUAGAGAGUGUGUGUAUAGGGGGCAUAGUGUUAUAGGGGAUGUAGCGAGUGUGUGCAUACAGGCUGUAGUGUGUGUGUAUAGGUGACGUAGUGUGUGUAGGGGUUGUAGAGAGGGUGUGUUUAGAGAAUGUUGUAUGUGUUUGCUGACAAGGAAUGUAGUGUGUGUGUAGGUGGUGCAGUGUGUGUGUGUGAGAUCUAGUGUGUAAAGGACCCAGAGUGUGUAUAGGAGAUUGUGUGUGUGUAGUGGAUUAAGAGUGCAUAUAGGGUAAGGGAUCUAGCGUGUAUCUGGAGCGUAAUGUAUGUAGUGGUGCAGUGUGAGGGGUGUUGUAGUGUAUGUAUAUAUGUUUUUAUCUGCCGUCACAUUCUAGGUUUCUAAUUUUCUUUGUCUGUUAACUCACUGAGGGUUAUUUUAUAUAUUAUAUAUAUACAGUUGCAAGAAAAAGUAUGUGAACCCUUUGGAAUGAUAUGGAUUUCUGCACAAAUUGGUCAUAAAAUGUGAUCUGAUCAUCAUCUAAGUCACAACAAUAGACAGUCACAGUCUGCUUAAACCAAUAACACACAAAGAAUGAAAUGUUGCCAUGUUUUUAUUGAACACACCAUGUAAACAUUCACAGUGCAGGUGGAAAAAGUAUGUGAACCCCUAGACUAUUGACAUCUCCAAGAGCUAAUUGGAGUGAGAUGUCAGCCAACUGGAGUCCAAUCAAUGAGAUGAGAUUGGAGGUGUUGGUUACAGUUGCCCUGCUCUAUAAAAAACACACACCAGUUCUGGGUUUGCUUUUCACAAGAAGCAUUGCCUGAUGUGAAUGAUGCCUCACACAAAAGAGCUCUCAGAAGACCUACGAUUAAGAAUUGUUGACUUGCAUAAAGCUGGAAAGGGUUAUAAAAGUAUCUUCAAAAGCCUGGCUGUUCAUCAGUCCACGGUAAGACAAAUUGUCUAUAAAUGAACAAAGUUCAGCACUGCUGCUACUCUCCCUAGGAAUAACCUUCCAGUGGGAGCAGUAACAGUGAAAAAGAAAGGGUAGUAGAUGCCUGGAAUACACUUCCAGUUGAAGCAGUAACAAUGAUUUAGAAAGGGUAGUAGAUACCUGGAUUAGCCUUCCAGUGGAAGCAGUAACAGUGAUACAAAAAGGGUAGUAGAUACCUGGAAUAGCCUUCCAGUGGGAGCAGUAACAGUGAUAUAGAAAGGGUAGUGGAUACCUGUAAUAGCCUUCCAUUGGAAGCAGUAAUGGCUAACAGUGGUAUAGAAAGGGUAUUAGAUACCUGGAACAGCCUUCCAGUGGGGGCAGUAACAGUGGUAUAGAAAGGGUAGUAGAUACCUGGAUUAGCCUUUCAGUGUAAGCAGUAACAGUGAUAUAGAAAGGGUAGUAGAUACCUGGAAUAGCCUUCCAGUGGAGGCAGUAACAGGGAUAUAGAAAGGGUAGUAGAUACCUGGAACAGCUUUCCAGUGGGAGCAG